rnacentral:hammerhead_ribozyme from 1 species
AUCCGGCUGACGAGUCCCAAAUAGGACUAAACUCGGGUCCUGGAC